UACGAAGGGGGCUAGCGUUGCUCGGAAUCACUGGGCGUAAAGCGCACGUAGGCGGACUCUUAAGUCGGUGGUGAAAUCCUGGAGCUCAACUCCAGAACUGCCUUCGAUACUGGGAGUCUUGAGUCCGAGAGAGGUGAGUGGAACUGCGAGUGUAGAGGUGAAAUUCGUAGAUAUUCGCAAGAACACCAGUGGCGAAGGCGGCCAACUGGUCCGGAUCUGACGCUGAGGCGCGAAAGCGUGGGGAGCAAACAGGG
rnacentral:rRNA from 1 species